GAGUUUGAUCAUGGCUCAGAUUGAACGCUGGCGGAAUGCUUUACACAUGCAAGUCGAGCGGCAGCGCGGGGCAACCUGGCGGCGAGCGGCGAACGGGUGAGUAAUGCAUCGGAACGUGUCCACGUCGUGGGGGAUAGCCCGGCGAAAGCCGGAUUAAUACCGCAUACGCCCGAGAGGGGAAAGUGGGGGACCGCAAGGCCUCACGCGAUUGGGUCGGCCGAUGUCCGAUUAGCUAGUUGGCGGGGUAAAGGCCCACCAAGGCGAUGAUCGGUAGCUGGUCUGAGAGGAUGAUCAGCCACACUGGGACUGAGACACGGCCCAGACUCCUACGGGAGGCAGCAGUGGGGAAUUUUGGACAAUGGGGGCAACCCUGAUCCAGCCAUUCCGCGUGAGUGAAGAAGGCCUUCGG
rnacentral:rRNA from 1 species